rnacentral:rRNA from 1 species
AGCGAACGCUGGCGGCAGGCCUAACACAUGCAAGUCGAACGAACUCUUCGGAGUUAGUGGCGGACGGGUGAGUAACACGUGGGAACGUGCCUUUAGGUUCGGAAUAACUCAGGGAAACUUGUGCUAAUACCGAAUGUGCCCUUCGGGGGAAAGAUUUAUCGCCUUUAGAGCGGCCCGCGUCUGAUUAGCUAGUUGGUGAGGUAAAGGCUCACCAAGGCGACGAUCAGUAGCUGGUCUGAGAGGAUGAUCAGCCACAUUGGGACAGAGACACGGCCCAAACUCCUACGGGAGGCAGCAGUGGGGAAUCUUGCGCAAUGGGCGAAAGCCUGACGCAGCCAUGCCGCGUGAAUGAUGAAGGUCUUAGGAUUGUAAAAUUCUUUCACCGGGGACGAUAAUGACGGUACCCGGAGAAGAAGCCCCGGCUAACUUCGUGCCAGCAGCCGCUAGUAA